UGGCGUCUAUGUAUUUACAAAUUCUCUUCCUCUUCCCUUUUUUCAUUUUUCCAAGUCCUACCUUUCCUUGGAGAUUGAGGGUGGCAUCCUCUGGCUCUGAGGAAUGGCCUGAUCUGCUCCUACUGUUAACCUUCACCUUGUGUGUGCCUCCCUUGGUGCUGGACACAUGGGGCUGGGAGUGCUGCAAGGUGUCUAGCACACCUUGCUGGGUGUCUACACUUGCUACGAGUUACCUCCACAUCCGAGGAGGCUUAUUUCUUCCAGAAUGCCUGCCCCACUGCUACUAAGGUAAGAAUUACUCCUCUUGGGAAUAUUAAAGAAGGGAAAUGAUGGAGGGAACCAAAUGUGACCCCAAAGUGGCAUUGGGGGAAAAAAUGUCACAACAACAUUUUGGAAAGUAACAAGCAGGUGGAGAAAUGUCCUGGGGUCUGAAGUGCUCUAGGGUGACGGAGACAAUCCCACCAGAUGGACAGAGACCCCAGCCCUUUCAUGGCUAAUGCCCAUCUGCCCCUCUGGACCUGUAUCCUUCUCUGUGAAUGAGGAUGUAGGGCAGGUUCUGACCUCCUAGGUCUUGCUGGGCCUCCAAUCAAAGUCAGUUUGUGGGCAGGCUGGGGUCUAAGAACAGCUCCCUCCCUUGGAACCCGUCCUCACCCCUUCCUAACUCCUGCCUGUACUUUCCAUGUGUCCCUCCACGGCUCCACCCUGCCCUGUCUCCCUGCUCUCUCUUUAGAUGAUGCUUGCUUGUCCUACAAGCCUUAAUUUCCAUUUUUCUUGGGGUGGGGAGAGGUUGAAGAAGGAAGAAGACUGGAGUAAGGGGGUCCUUCCCACUUGGGAGCCUGACUUCUCCCCCACCACCUCCAGGCGGGCGCUGUGCCCCUCAUCCCUCCACAGACGGCUGCUCACCUGGAAGCCAGCAGUUGGCUGCUGCAGCCUGAAGAGUUGGUGCGCCGCAGCCCCCACCGCGGAGCCACUUCUUCAAUCAGAUCCCAGGAGGUUCACUCCUCUGCAUCUGAUCUUGCUGUUGUGGCUGGGCGUGGGACCAAAAGAGCCAGGCAGCCAUGGUGAGGAGGAUGGUGGAGACAAGUAGCAUUUCUCCACGUGAGUUCCAGCAGGGGAGGAGGGCGCAGCUGCUUCAGAAGCUGGUCUUUGUCUAUCUGGGUCUAAAUGGUUCUGCUGAGGAGUCUAGGGUCCCAGUGUGGGAUGCCAGCCACCUAUCCACCUGGCUCACUCAGAGCAGGGUUUGCCUUGGUGCUCUGGGAGCUCCCUGUGGAUGCUAUGGACAGAGACCAGGCAGAGCAGGUGUCCCCUGUCAGUUCUGUGGGGGCAUUGAGCCAGCACGGUCAGGACAGAGGCUCUCCA
rnacentral:lncRNA from 1 species